rnacentral:rRNA from 1 species
GGUGGCUUCCCACUGCCACAACCCCACCAGGUCUCAGCACGGAGCCCCUGGGAUCUCAUGCUAAGCAGGGCCAGGCUGGCUUGGUACUGGCUGGGAGACCAAGAGCUGCAGGGGGAGGUUACCA